rnacentral:rRNA from 1 species
CAGUGGCGAAAGGGUGAGUAACACGAUCCAACGUGCCCCGAGGUGGGGGAUAGGCAUGGGAAACUGUGCGUAAUACCCCAUAAUCUCCACGGAGCAAAGAUUUAUCGCCUUGGGAGCGGGGAUCGUCCUAUCAGGUAGUUGGCGGGGUAAUGGCCCACCAAGCCGAAGACGGGUAGCAGGUGUGAGAGCACGGCCUGCCACAUCGGGACUGAGACACUGCCCGGACUCCUACGGGAGGCUGCAGCGACGAAUCUUCCGCAAUGGGCGCAAGCCUGACGGAGCGACGCCGCGUGCGGGAUGAAGCGGCUUUGCCGUGUAAACCGCUGUCAGGGGGUCGAAACACUGAUCACCCCCAAAGGAAGGGCCGACUAACCCUGUGCCAGCAGUCGCGGUAAGACAGGGGGCCCGAGCGUUAAUCGGAAUUACUGGGCUUAAAGGGUGCGUAGGCGGACCCGUAAGUGUCGUGUGAAAGCCCACUGCUCAACGGUGGAACGGCACGGCAAACUGCGGGUCUCGAGGAAGGUAGAGGCCGGUGGAACGAUUGGUGGAGCGGUGGAAUGCGUAGAUAUCAAUCGGAACGCCAAAGGUGAAGACAGCCGGCUGGGCCUUUCC